rnacentral:rRNA from 1 species
CCUACGGGUGGCAGCAGUGAGGAAUAUUGGUCAAUGGGCGCGAGCCUGAACCAGCCAAGUCGCGUGAGGGAAGACGGCCCUACGGGUUGUAAACCUCUUUUGCCGGGGAGCAACGGGCGCCACGUGUGGCGCCACUGAGAGUACCCGGAGAAAAAGCAUCGGCUAACUCCGUGCCAGCAGCCGCGGUAAUACGGAGGAUGCGAGCGUUAUCCGGAUUUAUUGGGUGUAAAGGGUGCGUAGACGGAGAAGCAAGUUAGUUGUGAAAUCCCUCGGCUUAACUGAGGAACUGCAACUAAAACUACUUCCCUUGAGUACUGGAGAGGAAAGUGGAAUUCCUAGUGUAGCGGUGAAAUGCGUAGAUAUUAGGAGGAACACCAGUGGCGAAGGCGACUUUCUGGACAGUAACUGACGUUGAGGCACGAAAGUGUGGGGAGCAAACAGGAUUAGAUACCCUAGUAGUC